GAACGCUGGCGGCGUGCCUAAUACAUGCAAGUCGAGCGAACAGACGAGGAGCUUGCUCCUCUGAUGUUAGCGGCGGACGGGUGAGUAACACGUGGAUAACCUACCUAUAAGACUGGGAUAACUUCGGGAAACCGGAGCUAAUACCGGAUAACAUGUUAAACCGCAUGGUUCAACAGUGAAAGACGGUCUUGCUGUCACUUAUAGAUGGAUCCGCGCCGCAUUAGCUAGUUGGUAAGGUAACGGCUUACCAAGGCAACGAUGCGUAGCCGACCUGAGAGGGUGAUCGGCCACACUGGAACUGAGACACGGUCCAGACUCCUACGGGAGGCAGCAGUAGGGAAUCUUCCGCAAUGGGCGAAAGCCUGACGGAGCAACGCCGCGUGAGUGAAGAAGGUCUUCGGAUCGUAAAACUCUGUUAUUAGGGAAGAACAAAUGUGUAAGUAACUAUGCACGUCUUGACGGUACCUAAUCAGAAAGCCACGGCUAACUACGUGCCAGCAGCCGCGGUAAUACGUAGGUGGCAAGCGUUAUCCGGAAUUAUUGGGCGUAAAGCGCGCGUAGGCGGUUUUUUAAGUCUGAUGUGAAAGCCCACGGCUCAACCGUGGAGGGUCAUUGGAAACUGGAAAACUUGAGUGCAGAAGAGGAAAGUGGAAUUCCAUGUGUAGCGGUGAAAUGCGCAGAGAUAUGGAGGAACACCAGUGGCGAAGGCGACUUUCUGGUCUGUAACUGACGCUGAUGUGCGAAAGCGUGGGGAUCAAACAGGAUUAGAUACCCUGGUAGUCCACGCCGUAAACGAUGAGUGCUAAGUGUUAGGGGGUUUCCGCCCCUUAGUGCUGCAGCUAA
rnacentral:rRNA from 2 species